CACCAGCAAGAGUAAGAGGGGACAUCAGCAGGCAGUGGAGUGAAGAGAGUGGAUUAAAGUAAGCAUGGUUUGAGUCUGAGGAGCUUCUAGUCUUGACUAUUCCAACACUUUGCAAUUAAAUGGUAGUGAUGGCAGGCGUUGCAAGGGUGCCGGAUACUGUCACACACAACUGGGAUGGGAAUCUUGGCAUAGCCGUGUCCUCCCACAGCUGGCUGAGGCCUCAGCAUGCGCUAUAAAUAGCAGGGACAAAUACAAUCAAUCCUGCUUUCAAAAUGCAAUUCAUGAGAUCUCUGCAGAGAAGUGAACUCGACAGCACACUGCAAUCUUUCUACCAUGGAACUGGAAGAGACAAGCAAGAUCCUCCUAGGCAUCUAGUUUCUGGACACGAUUGGACCCAUCGCACAUCCAAGUCCACUUAACAAGCUCUGUUCGAACAGGGUUAAACAGAGUCCACACACACGAAGUUCUGUUCCUCCCGAGAAAGACGUUCCUAGCUGAAUUUUUGGUUACGGAGGAACCAUCUACUUCAUCUAAGAUUUGUGAAUGCAUCCUCAGCCUCAUAAUUGCAUAUUUUAGCUAGGUUUAGAUUUUCCAGAAAGUAAAAAAGCACUUAGGCAGUGGGUUGCGUGUAAUUCACUCUUUAAAUGCUUUUGGGGGCGCAGAAAUAGCGCCUGCUCUUCAAGAAAGUCUGCCCAGCAACUUGCCACUUUGGGAAUUUUCCUGGCCUGCUUGAUCAAAACUCAACGAUGAGUUGAGUCUAGAGGAAUUGGCACUGGACCUCCAUUCUCUUGAUCCUGUGGCUGAUGAAAAGGUUCUGGGAGUUUGGGCAGCUCGGUGCUCUUUCCUAGCAAGAGAGUGAGGGGUCCAAAUUCCAGAGACUUCCCUCUGAGCUGCUAGUGACUCCCACCGAGCGUUGGAUAAAUGCACAUAUGCCCUUCAAUCAAGCCAAGACUCCUGAAAAGAACGUUCUCUCGGCAGGCGAGACGAUUUGAAAGAACUUGCCGGCAAGCACUUCAGUCCUCCAUCUUUCCUCUCUUUGUUGAAAUGGCUUUACCAGUAAAACUGCUGCUAAUGAGGUGGUUUAUCUGGUUUUAUUGCCCUUAAUUUUAUUACCCGCCCAAUAUAAUCUUGGCCCAAGCUUCCCCUGCUUAGAGGCAUGGUAAAAGCUUUAUGUCUAGGAAAGCCCCACCCAAGAAGAGAUUUUACUUUCUUGGAUGUGGGCUGCGAGCCAGGCCCGUAGGCUGAGGUGCUGGCCCCUUCAACAGCUUCAUUUAGAAGCUCUAAACCAUUCUAUAAUCUUCUUUUCUGGCCUUGGUGGAGGUAGACUCAGAGAACCGAGAUUAAAUGAGUAAGCCCAAAGAAAGAGGCGAAGACCAAAGACCUAAUUUUCCAUCUCUCAAGGUUAUCAGAAUCGCUAUUUCAGAUUUUACUUGCUUUGGCGUCCAACCACUGAGAAACGUUUGUGGUCAGAGCAAGACAUCAACCAUCUCGAGUCUUGGCUGGGGGCUGGGCUCCCGCAAAGCCUCUCACGGGUGAAGUCAAGCAACUGGGCGAAGAGCGGUGAGGCGGGAGAAGAAACGAGCAGGUGGAAAAUGGAGGAAGUGGAGACUAGAUCUCAGCGAGAAGGGUGGAGCACUCCUUGUCGUUUGUCUGGCGCGGGGCGCGAUCUUGCUAUCUGGCGAUUUCACUUCUCUGAGGGGCUCUCCAUGUCUCUGCCGCCCUUCUAAGGAGUAGGUUUGUCUACAGGGACCCCGAGUUCUUUCUCACUGCCCACAUCCACAGAUCGGGCAGUUAUUGUUACUACUUUAAGAACCUGGUAUUCCUGUUUCCACCGCCAAACCCUUAUAGAACAUUCUUCCUGAUACCUUUCAUUUAAAUGCAUGUAAUAAAACACUUUUGGGUGUCAGUGCCUGUGUCAAUUUGAUUUUACACUUGCUGCUCUUUCUCAACUACUCAUGGAAAAUUUGUUUUCUCUUCCUUCUAUG